GGAUGGAUCAUUAACACUUUAUGAGUUCCCAUUUAAUAACAUUCAAUUGUUAUCUUAUCCCGUGAACCAACUCUAAUUCAAAUUUUUGGUGCACAAACUCAAUUAAUUUUGUCUCAAAACUUUUAGCAAUGGAUAUCUUGGUUCCCGCAACGAUGAAGAACGCAGCGAACUGCGAAUUACGUAAUGCGAAUUGCAGAAUUUCGUGAAUCAUCAAAUCUUUGAACGCAACCUGCACUCAGGGACUUGCUCCCUGAGUAUGCCUCUUUGAGAAUCGGUUUCUAAUCAUUCCUUUACUUAACUGUUUUAAAGUGAAUGAAAGUUUCUCUUUAUUGAGAAGAAUGUGAGUGCUUUACGAGGUUAACUCCUUGUAUCACUUAAAUACUGUGCUUGAUAUAGUUUUGAAGUAUUGUAUUCGAUGAGUGCCAAUAACACUUAUAAUCAAAACGAAUACUCUCCUUCCCAUCAAGCCGUCUUUUAUUAUAACCCUUUUUUUUCUGAUCUCAAAUGAGGUAGGAAGACCCGCCGAAUUUAAGCAUAUAAUUAAGCGGAGGAGAAGAACUAACAAGGAUUCCCUUAGUAACGGCGAGCGAACAGGGAAGAGCUCAACAUGAAAAUCGGCACCCUUGAUGGUGAUCCGAGUUGUAAUCUGUAGACGUGUGAUCAGCGAGUGGCCCAGGCCUAAGUCCCUUGGAACAGGGCGUCACAGAGGGUGAGAACCCCGUCUAUGGCUUGGCGACUGCCGCGUACGACACGCGUUCCUCGAGUCGGGUUGCUUGGGAUCGCAGCCUAAAAUGGGUGGUAAAUUUCAUCUAAAGCUAAAUAUUUGCGGGAGACCGAUAGUGAACAAGUACCGUGAGGGAAAGACGAAAAGAACUUUGAAAAGAGAGUGAAAAGUGCUUGAAAUUGCUAAAAGGGAAGCGAUGGAAACCAGUGAUACGUGGAGUGCAUCUCUGAGCAUACGGGUUACUAGGGGGUGGCGUGAUAUUUGCUCUUACGGGCUAUUGCGUCGCUUCAUGUAGUGGCUCGUUCCUGCUUGGAGUUCCAAAGCAUUUCAUGUCCCCUUACUUUAUGUCAGAGCCUGCUUCAGACUCGCGGCAAACCUGCAUGGAGGAAUGUACUAACGGUCCGCCGUAGUAAUACGGAUGGAGGUUGGACUUAUAGCCUCUGCAUGCGGAUGGCGGGCGAGGUGUGAGCAUGGUGAGAAUAUGGCCUCCAGGAUGGGGAAGAUCCUGGGCCGGGCUGCUGUACGGUAGCGGGCCUUUGGCGUGCCUUGCUGUUCUGAGGACAACAAAGUUGUGCUUGGAGCUGUUUUGGGGUGCGCACGAGGGUUCUACUGUGCGGUGGCUUAGAGUAAUAACGUCUGACAACAAAUGGUUUUCAACGACCCGUCUUGAAACACGGACCAAGGAGUCUAACAUGUGUGCGAGUAUUUGGGUGAGUCAAACCCGAUAAAACAAAGAAAUGCGUAAGUGAAAGCAAAAAAGGUGGGAACCCUAUCAUGGACGUUGAUGGGGUUGCACCAUCGACCGUUCCUAUGUCUCGUGCAUAGGAUAUGAGUAAGAGCAUGUAUGUUGGGACCCGAAAGAUGGUGAACUAUGCCUGGACAGGGCGACGCCAGGGGAAACUCUGGUGGAGGCUCGUAGCGAUACUGACGUGCAAAUCGUUCGUUCGAUCUGGGUAUAGGGGCGAAAGACUAAUCGAACCAUCUAGUAGCUGGUUCCCUC
rnacentral:misc_RNA from 1 species